rnacentral:rRNA from 1 species
GCUUAACACAUGCAAGUCGAGGGGAAACGACAUCGAAAGCUUGCUUUUGAUGGGCGUCGACCGGCGCACGGGUGAGUAACGCGUAUCCAACCUGCCCACCACUUGGGGAUAACCUUGCGAAAGUAAGACUAAUACCCAAUGAUAUCUCUAGAAGACAUCUGAAAGAGAUUAAAGAUUUAUCGGUGAUGGAUGGGGAUGCGUCUGAUUAGCUUGUUGGCGGGGUAACGGCCCACCAAGGCGACGAUCAGUAGGGGUUCUGAGAGGAAGGUCCCCCACAUUGGAACUGAGACACGGUCCAAACUCCUACGGGAGGCAGCAGUGAGGAAUAUUGGUCAAUGGGCGAGAGCCUGAACCAGCCAAGUAGCGUGCAGGAUGACGGCCCUAUGGGUUGUAAACUGCUUUUAUAAGGGAAUAAAGUGAGUCUCGUGAGACUUUUUGCAUGUACCUUAUGAAUAAGGACCGGCUAAUUCCAUGCCAGCAGCCGCGGUAAUACGGAAGGUCCGGGCGUUAUCCGGAUUUAUUGGGUUUAAAGGGAGCGUAGGCCGGAGAUUAAGCGUGUUGUGAAAUGUAGAUGCUCAACAUCUGAACUGCAGCGCGAACUGGUUUCCUUGAGUACGCACAAAGUGGGCGGAAUUCGUGGUGUAGCGGUGAAAUGCUUAGAUAUCACGAAGAACUCCGAUUGCGAAGGCAGCUCACUGGAGCGCAACUGACGCUGAAGCUCGAAAGUGCGGGUAUCGAACAGGAUUAGAUACCCUGGUAGUCCGCACGGUAAACGAUGGAUGCCCGCUGUUGGUCUGAAUAGGUCAGCGGCCAAGCGAAAGCAUUAAGCAUCCCACCUGGGGAGUACGCCGGCAACGGUGAAACUCAAAGGAAUUGACG